CUUCCCGCUCCUCAUUGUGUUCUUCAAUCAGAGCGAGACUUGUAAUUAAUUCAGGCAACAGAAAUGGUUUGAAAAGUUUUUCUUUUUGGUUUGUUUCCCUCCUGAACCGAAGGUUUUCUGACCCGUCAAAGAUUCUCAUCAAAUGAUGGCUCUGCGAUCACGACCCUGAAGAAUUCUGCUUCCCGACGGCUGACCUGAUCCCGACGGAGCCGCAGACAUCCGCUCGGCGGGACACAAAGUGUUUGCAGCAAACUGUGAACUCUAAAUCGUGAGGCUAAGGAACUCCUCGACGGUCUCUGUCCGUGGUCCUGAACUGUCUUCGUCUGGAGUCCCGCCUCCUCCUGGAAGAUCUCCGACCGGAUUAGUUGUUAUCAAGUGUAUGUUGUUGGUUUGAUGAAUAUUAUUAUUUUAACGGGUUCAGCUUUUAAUGUAACUAUGAUUACUUGGUUUGUAAAUUUUGUUUAUUUUAUGCUAAUGGAUCCCAGAAAGACCAGAUCCCCCUCAGUGGAAGUUACUGUGGUUCCAAAUAAAGUCUGCAGCUCCAACCUGA